UAAUAGGAAAACCUAUUCCCUUUAUUGAAGGGAUACAGAAUCGUGCCCUAGCCUACAUCGAAUGACACGAUUAAUGAAGUCGCGAUAACUCCUCUGCAAGCCUGCAUCGAUCAGGUCUCCGGCAACUUUUUCUAGAGAUUAAUUAAUCCUCUUCUUUCCAAGGUUCAAGCUUGUUGUAGAAAUCAUUCUUCUCCUUCACUUUCUUGUCUUUAUCGGCAAAAAAAUCUGCUUACAAGAAAUUUUCUACAUAUUGUGCUUCAAUUUCGUACUGGUUUCAUCGCCCCUUCGUCGAGUGUAUUUGGAAGAGGAGUUUUGGUCGAAGAUGCUUGGGAAAUAGCAAAGAGAUACUUGUCCUCUUACUUCUUGAUAGAUAUUCUUGCAGUUCUUCCUCUACCACAGGUUGUAAUUUUAAUUGUAAUUCCUAAAUUGCGGGGUGCUAGAUCUUUGAACAUGAAGAAUUUGCUGAAAUUUGUUGUUUUCUUCCAAUAUAUUCCGAGGCUCCUUCAAGUUUAUCCUUUAUAUAAGGAAUUCACAACUCACUGAAACAGCAUGGACUGGAGCUUCGUUCAAUCUUUUUCUUUAUAUGCUUGCCAGUCAUGUACUUCGAGCGUUUUGGUACCUGUUUUCAAUAGAACGUGAGUCUACUUGUUGGCAACGAGCAUGUGAAAAUUCAUCUGCGUGUCAUCUUUCUUCAUUGUACUAUGAUGAUGAUCAUACAUGAUUUAAAAUAUUGCUAAAUAGUUCAUGUCCUAUAGAUACACCAACGCAACACUUUUUGAUUUUGGGAUAUUCCUUGUCGCCCUCCAGUCUGGUGUUGUGGAAUCAAUGGAUUUUCCGCAGAAGUUCUUUUAUUGUUUCUGGUGGGGUCUGCAGAACUUGAGGUAUGCUUGCUAUAUUUGCUUGAGUUUUGCAUAUUCAACUGCAUGUUUGCUGUUGAUAUUUUUGUAUGUAUCACUCUGUCUAACCUCAUAUGCAUGUUUUAUAUUGUUGUUCUCCAACCAUGUAUUGCAAACUGAGGUAGGAAGAGUAAGAAACUCUUUUUGAUAGCUUUUGGCUUAUAUUUGUGUAUUUGUGGCUUAGCAUAGUGCACUUCACAUGAUGCUAGACAUUGCGGUUGUCCCUUUUCAAAGGAAUGUAUCGGUCUCUAAAAUUGAUAUGCCAAGGUGAGGGGGAGGGUAGGAGAUGGAUACUUGUCAUGCAAGAUAUAUCUCAAUCUGUCCAUAAAGUCCGGCCUUAAUUUUUUUUAUUUUUUAACAAGUUAUUUUAUAGCAUUGUGUAUAUAAAGUUUUGAAUAAACACAUAAAAUUAUUGAAGUUUUGAGUAAAAUAAAGAUAAACUAAAGAAUAUAAAGCGCAAGUUAUAGAAAAGGAUAAAUUGAUACUUGGUAAGCAACUUCGUAGUAAUAUAUCUAAAGAUGAAUGAACAAGCAAAUUUAGUUAGUUACAUUAUUUGUAUCCAACAUGAAUAGGAAUGGUUUCGCAAUUGAAGUUAUUCAACAAAUAUAAAUUCAAUAAUGAUCAAAUGAGAUUCAAACUGUUUAUCAAGAACGUCUGUUUAAAAACCUUUUGGAGGUGGGAUACUUCUAAAAUUAUUUGGAGGACUAUACUGUUUUGAUAUAACUCAAAGAAGGUGAGCAACAUUCCCUUAUAAUAUGAAUCAUUCGAAUGAGUAACUAACCUGAGUGGUUAAAAGGAGCUAUAAAGUUCAUGUGUAUGACUGUUUCAAUUGCAUCUUUCGAAAAAAAUGAUUCUUACACCUUUUUGAACAAUUAAAAACAAAGAAAAAAUGAUUCUUACACCUUUUUGAACAAUUAAGAAAGCAAAUUGGAAAAUAAACUAGUUAGUAGUUCAUGUAAGUAUUGUUCAAACAACAGAAAAUCUGACAAGAAAUUAUAGCAGUAAAGCUUUUCCUUAAAGUAUUGGUUUAGUAAAGCUUUUCCUUAAAGUAUUGGUUUACUUGUUCCUGUAAGCUUUCGUUUUCCGCGUGCAUACUUUAUGUCUGCAACCUUAGAGCUGGAAGGAAUAUGAAAGGAUGGUUGCAUCAUCUUCAUUUCUAGACUUGUAAAUAAGAUCAGUAGCUUAGAUAGUAAAGUUGUAUAGGAACUAAAGAGUCUUUUUUGUAUACUGUCUUUAGCUGAUAUAGCUAAGCUAAUGCACUGUACUGGUUUUUCACGGCUGAUUAAUGAAGCUUGUAAUUACCAAAAUAAAAACUUCAGUAUCUGACAAGAAAUUAGAGCAGUAAAACUUCAGUAUUAUAUACUUUGUGUAGAUUGCCUCAUGCAUUGCAGGGAUUUCCUCAUCUUCUAUAAAGUCCAAUUAUUCUUGCAGAACUGUUAAGUUCCGUGAUAUGUGGUUUAAUAUUACAUAAAAUGAAAUGAAAUAACUAAGUGUGAGGAGUACUUGUAUUACACACAAUUAUGGUGUUGUUCUUGUCACUACUUGUAAUUUCAGAAUACACCCUUUUCUUCUUAUGUUCCUCUAAUUUCUCCUGGAAGUCUGAUCCAUUACAACCCUCAGUGUGGCAUCCCUCAGUGGCUGCAAGAUUUUUGUGUUCUUUUAGGCAUGGAAAGUCCAUGAACUUGUGCAAAUUGGUAUUUAACAUGUAGUUGGUUCACAGCUGUGAUUACUUAUCUUUUCACUGCCCGCAUGGUUGGUCUGAUGGUGCUGUGCAUUAGACAGUGUACAUGUUUUUACUGUCUAAAUUGGUAUAAUUAUCUGUGUCUUGCAUUCCUCUUA